UCGGUCGGAGUUGAAAACUCCAUUUUAGCUCUGUCUAUGACCUAUCCGCCAGAAAAUAAACUUUUUAUUAAAACCAUACAGAAAUGUACCAGCAAAAUGUGAGCCCAUCCCAACCAGAAGCCAGAUAUUCCAAGAGCCAUAAAUUGAAAUUAGACAACAAUUGUGAAUCACACGUGAUCAUGUGAUCAUUUCUUAUCUUCGAAACCUCAGAUUUGUUUACUUUGUUAUAAUAAAAUUAAGACCAAGACUUAAAUUUCUGUUUGUUUAUAUUUAAUUUGAUACCUUUGACUUCACAAGAUGAAUAAUGAAAACCGACCAAACAUUAAUUAUUACAGUAAUAAAUUCGUAUGACUUAUUUAUCAACAAAAUAAAUUGGUAUGACUAGGGUUUACCAAUUUGGACUUUUUUACGGAGUAGACGAUAAGAUAGAAGAUAGAAAUAAAUAUUAUAUUAAUGUCCAUUUUCGCAGAAUGUGUCAAACUCGAGACUCUCAAAUUACCGGACACACAACUUUACUAGUUAAGCAACCCCACUUAAACAAAGUACUCUUAAGGUUUAUUAAGUACCAUUAAGAUGGUGCAUUGAUAUUGUGAUUUGUGGCUGUCAGACCGACAGACUUAUGAUGAAUUAAAGAACUGCGCUCAAUUAGAAUCGUAGUUUGAAGAACUCCAUUCUAGCUCUGCCUAUGAUCUAUCCGUCAGAAAAUAAACUUUCUUAUUAGAACCAUACAAAAAUGUAGACACAAAAACAAACAUUUUUACCAUAACAGAACAGAAGACGAAGAUAUAUCAUAGUUUUGCAUGCAUAUCGUGCAUUGGUACUCGUAAAAUCGGAAAGUUCGUGGCAGCAAAUAGCAAGAAGUCCGGAUCAGAUUCGAGUCCAGUCAUCACACCCUCCUCCAAGGUCACCCAUGCCUCGAUCCCAUCGCUUCCACUCUCGAUCAAAACGAUUGAAUUCGAGCAAUACGACGAAGUCGUACUAUGAUCUGUUGUGGCUCCGCCCAACCCGACCCAGACCGGUGGCCCCCACCCAAAAUCGGUCCUACUAAAACCGAAACCGUGCCAGCACGAUAAGUUGAUCACAUCUGUGUUCUCGUCCUCGAUCUCAGCUUGUCGAUCGUAGUACUCGAAAAUGGCUUUCGAUCCUCUGCUGACGUAGUCAGCGCUAACCAGUUCCUUGACCCCGGUUCGUAUCAGACUAGCUAAAUGGUCAAUCUGAAUCGAUUGGUCGGGAUGAGGACCGGUGUAUUUAGCAUUGGAGAAAAGGACAAGGUUUCCAAACGAUUGGCUAGACAAAGGCGGCUAUUUGACUAGCCGCCUUAGGUCAACACUCUGAGUUAAGACCGAGUGGUUUUGAGAUUUGGACGAAUGUAUUAUAAACUUCCAUAUGAAAGCUGAUACUGCCUCCGCCCGAGUUGGUCGCUCUAUUGUUUCACUUCUAGCGCUCGCCCUUAAUUUGGCGACCGACUCCCCAACGAACAUGAACCUCCUGGUCACCGGUUUCCCUCCGUUCUCAAACCAAACCCCUUUCGCCAGGGAUUCAUAUUGACGUGGCAUCGGCUUUGCUAAAGGAAAAGUCAACGGUCCUCCCUCAAAUUCGGGAGGCACAAUUUUGUCUGGGCGGUUCGCGCUAAUCGCCGCCCAAACAUUAAGGAAAGCACUCACCGUAAUUCCGUCGUGGCUCUUGUGCGAAGAGCACAACCCAAGAGCCAGCCCACCACAUUCGAACAUGUUGACUUGGAAUCCACACUGUGGACCCGUCUCUGGGGCACUGCAGAAGGUCUUAAAGGGAAGGAGGUUGUUGAGUGAUCCCAUCAGCGAGCUCUGAUCAGCACCGUUAAGGAAAUCAAACAAUCGUCCAUUAACACGGGUUUCGAUAAAGGGGACCCCUUUGUCGAAGUCGUGGAUGGUGAAAUUGUCGCUAACCCUGCCGGCUAGAGGGUAGUAGACGGAGAGAGCUUGGGAGAGGGACGACUUGAGGCGGGUCGAAACAUCAAUUUGACCGAGUUGGUGGCUGUUCUGGUAGAAGAGGAUGAGUGGGGAAUAACUCAUGGGAGUUAGCUGGUCCAAGAGGUUGAGCUCUAAUGGUUGAGUUUUAGGAUGUAAUGUUGAUGGCUUCACAGUUUCUAUUGAUAGGACGGAAACUUCCAUGGCUAUGAUGAAUGAAUGCAAGCUAACUGGAUUUUUGCUUAUAUAAACAAGUGUAAUACUUUUUUAUUAUCCCACUUGGAUUUAUGAGAAAUUAAUUAUAUGUCGGUUAAGAUAAGUUAUGACUUUUGUGGGUCAUUUAUUAUGGCUGAAAUAUUGGUGCACUUGUGGGAUCUGUGUAUUUCGAGAUAUAUUAGUAUAUUUAGUGACGAAUCAUAUUGAGUUUAUGUACUUCAAUUGAACAAGAUCGUGUUGAGUUUACAAUUAUUUGUUCGCUAAUUUUACCAGUUUUUCCCUCUAUCAAACAUUACAAACGGAACAAAAUAAUGUAAAAUCCUUCAAUUUUUAACAAUCACUUUUCCUUAUUGAUUUUAAAUCGGAACAAAUUGAGAGAGAACCAAACCGAUUGGCGCUGCACAUUGCGUCAACACGUGAAAGCGGCCGAUUCGAGCUAGACAGAGCCAAAGAAUUCCCUAACUAUACAUCCACCAGAGCCAAAAAAAUCCUUCAACGAGCUCUGAUCAGACCCGCCCCUAAAGGAGGACUAAUUGAUUUUAUCAUAUCAAAGAGAAAUCUAGUAGACCCCUGAGUCUCUUACACUAUCUAAAGGCUUAUAUAAAUCAGGUUUGUAUUUAAAUAGUUUUAUUUCUUUAUUUUCAUAUCACCCAACCAGCUCCGAUGACCAAAUUACGAUCGCCUCCGUCGUUGUACCAGCAAAAUGUGAGCCGACCCCAACCAGAAGCCAAAUAUUCGAAGAGCCAUAAAUUGAAAUUAGACAACAAUUGUAAAUCGAAAUCUCAAAUUUGUUUACUUUGUUAUAAUAAAAUGAAGACCAAGACUUAAAUUUGUGUUUGUUUAUAUGUAAUUUGAUACCUUUGACUUCACAAGAUGAAUAAUGAAAACCGACUAAACAUUAAUGAUCAGAGUAAUAAAUUGGUAUGAGGUGGGUUUACCAAUUUGGUUUUUUUUACGGAAUAGAUCAUAACUUUCAGUCAAAACAAAAUAGAAGAUAGAAAAUAGAAAUAAACACUAUAUUGAUAUCUAUUUUUGCCGGGUGUGUGAUGUGAUGUAUUUUCGACACACCUUUUCUCGUUAUAAACUAUAUUUUUGUGUGUCGAAAUGUAUUCAAAUUCGGGGUUUGAGCACAUGUUUGGUUCUCUUGCCCCUCGGGCCGUAUUAUGGUGUUUGAUAUGUUUUUGGUACAUUUCAGGUGUCAUAUGACGUUUAGAGAUAAACCAAUACAUGACGGGUAGGCCGGAACAACUCAAAGCGUUCGACUUGGGAAGAAAGCGUCACUGUUUAGUAUUUUGAGCAUAACCCAUCGCUCCGAAGUUCAAUUGAUGCAAGAUCAGCGGCGUUGGAAAGAUAAUUCGAUUGUCGACAACUUUGAUGUUGACACUAUGGUCAAAUUCCGUAUAAUGAAGGAACACGGCGUGUUCCUCCGCUGAAAUACAAGGACGUAACACGGCCGAGAACACAGCGUGUUCCAUAUGGAGCACGGUGUCUCCCACCCCCAGACGGGGUUUCAAGUGUUUUUACUUCUCCAGCUUGGUCCAGAAUCCUAUAAAUACCCCCAAGACCCCUGUGGACGGGAAAUACUUCAUUAUAUACAUAUUUUUCGAGCUCUUGGAGAGAGCGAGGGUUCCAUAUACUGAAUAGACACAUAUUUUGGUGAACGAGGCAAUUGUGCUCGGGCAUAAAAUUUGAAAGAAAGGAGUUGUAGUUGAUCUAGAAAAGAUUGAUGCUAUAGCUCAACUUCCUCUUCGUACAUCAGUGAAGCCAAUUAGAAGUUUUCUAGGACAUGUAGGGUUUUAUAGGAGGUUCAUCAAGGAUUUCUCGAAGAUUAGUCUUCCAAUGACUGGCCUGCUUGAGAUGGAUGUCCCUUUCCAGUUUGAUCAAUCAUGUCACCAAGCGUUUGUGACUCUCAAUCAAAACUCACCACAGCUCCCAUACUUAUCACACCAUAAUGGCAUUUCAUCGAACACCUUUAGUGCAUUUUGUUCAGGUAUAGUUUAGCUUGAGAGAGAAGUCUAUGGUUAAGCAGAAUAGAUCUUUAGAGGCGCGAGAGUGAUCUAAGACUACAUUAGGAAAUUGCCAAGCAAUUAUAACCUGAAUAAUCGAGAUAACUUGUGAGUCAUCCAUGUAUUGCUAGAUUUAGUGGAUUUGAAUCCGAGCAACCUUCAUCUUAUCUUUGAAACUCGAUUCCUUGCAUUUUGAUUUGUUUUAUUUCAGUCAUUAGUUCAUAAUUGGAUACCGAAACAAUCAAAUAAACAAUCAUUACACUGUCACUUGGUCUAGUUAGCAAAUCAACUUGAGUAAUAGAAGAAGAAAGACCCUAGGGAAAUAAACGAUUCCAUUAGAGCAAUCUAGUGGGUAUUUGAUAGCGGGGUAAAAUCCGCACAUUAGUGUGCCAAACCCAAGACUUUCAAAUCACCAGACACACAACUCUACUUAUAAAGCAAUUCCAUUUAAACAAAGUACUCUUUAAGGUUUAUGAAGCACCAUUAAGAUGGUGCAUUGAUAUUGUGAUUUGUGGCUAUCAGACCGACAGAGUUAUGAUGAAUUAGAGAACUGCGCUCAAUUAGAAUCGUAGUUUGAAGAACUCCAUUCUAACUCUGCCUAUGAUCUAUCCGUUAGAAAAUAAACUUUUUUAUUAGAACCAUACAAAACUGUACACACAAAACACAAACAUUUUUACCAUAACAGAACAGAAGACGAAGAUAUAUCAUAGUUUUGCAUGCAUAUCAUGCAUUGGUACUCGUAAAAUUGGAAAGUUCGUGGCAGCAAAUAGCAAGAAGUCCGGAUCAGAUUCGAGUCCACUCAUUACAUCCUCCUCCAAGGUCACCCAUGCCUCGAUCCCAUCACUUCCGCUCUCGAUCAAAAUGAUUGAAUUCGAGCAAUACGACGACGUCGUACUAUGAUCUGUUGUGGCUCCGCCUAACCCGACCCAGACCGGUGGGCCCCACCCAAAAUCAGUCCUACUAAAACCAAAACCGUGCCAGCACGAUAAGUUGAUCACGUCUGUGUUCUCGUCCUCGAUCUCGGCUUGUCGAUCGUAGUACUCGAAAAUGGCUUUCGAUCCUCUGCUGACGUAGUCAGCGCUAACCAAUUCCUUGACCCCGGUUCGUAUCAGACUAGCUAAAUGGUCGAUCUUAAUCGAUUGGUCAUGAUGAGGACCAGUGUAUUUAGCAUUGGAGAAAAGGACAAGGUUUCCAAACGAUUGGCUAGACAAAGGCGGCCGUUUGACUAGCCGCCUUAGGUCAACACUCUGAGUUAAGACCGAGUGGUUUUGAGAUUUGGACGAAUGUAUUAUAAACUUCCAUAUGAAAGCUGAUACUGCCUCCGCCCGAGUUGGUCGUUCUAUUCUUUCACUUCUAGCGCUCGCCCUUAGUUUGG
rnacentral:lncRNA from 1 species